GUGGGGAAUAUUCCGCAAUGGACGAAAGUCUGACGGAGCAACGCCGCGUGAGUGAUGAAGGUUUUCGGACUGUAAAGCUCUGUUGUUUAGGACGAAAGUGCCUGUUGCGAACAGUUACAGGUAUUGACGGUACUAAACGAGGAAGCCACGGCUAACUACGUGCCAGCAGCCGCGGUAAUACGUAGGUGGCAAGCGUUGUCCGGAAUUAUUGGGCGUAAAGAGCAUGUAGGCGGAGAUUUAAGUCUGUUGUGAAAAUGCGGGGCUCAACCCCGUAUUGCGAUGGAAACUGAAUUUCUUGAGUGCAGGAGAGGAAAGGGGAAUUCCCAGUGUAGCGGUGAAAUGCGUAGAUAUUGGGAGGAACACCAGUGGCGAAGGCGCCUUUCUGGACUGUGUCUGACGCUGAGAUGCGAAAGCCAGGGUAGCGAACGGGAUUAGAUACCCUUGUAGUCC
rnacentral:rRNA from 1 species